rnacentral:lncRNA from 1 species
UAGGUUGCUGUGAGACCUGGGAGAAGUCUAUCAGAAGUACAGACCCCAAAAGGGAAGCCGCAACUCCACCAGAUUCAACCAAGGAUCAGGAGUCCUAGGACAUGCUCCAGGGUCCCCCAGCUUCUCCAUUCCUUGCCCUCUGGUCUUCUCUUUACCUCCGCUGGUCUCAUCCACUGCUAUGUAUUUGGUUCUACCAAUUUCUUGACUUUAUUCCAGGUACUGUACUGUGUUGUGUGGAGGAGGGGGAAAUGACCAGAAACAUCCUUGAGAAACCUUCCAGACAAAAGAGAAGUUGGGAGAGGUGCUUUCUGGUGUUGUUGGAGUUCCAAAUAGAUUAGCUGGGAGCUCCAGAGAUCACCUGUCUUGUACCCCUCGAUCUUUUCAGGGCACAUAAGCAUGCGGGUGCACACACACACACACACACACACACACAUUUACUCUGGGGAUCCUUGUGGUCCUCAGCUUUGGCCUCACUGUGGGAUAAACUGGCUGCUGCCUCAGGCUUUGGACCUCUGCACCAUGGCUCCAGGCUGGGGCCCUGCCUGAGUUCUCCCUCUUUGUUCCAGGUGGCCAUGCUUUGGACCUUUUUUUCCACACUCAGAUUCUGAGCAUUGGGUCCAGCACCUUGGCAUGCAGGUGAACCCAAAGACUACUCUCCUCAGGCCUGGACCGUCAUCCCCCAAAAUACUUUCUCCGGGCCCGGCAGGCAGUACCCCUGACUAGGCUGUGGAGACAGAGGCACCACUUGCCUGCGCCAGCAAGGAGCCUUGAAGUCCCCAUGAAGUGAAGGGUGGAGGUCUUUGGGCCAGCAAGCUCCAGUAGAGAUAGGAGUCAGUCCUAGAGUUUCUGAAGCUGGAAACAAACACCCAGUUUGGGCAGACUGCAACCAGGAUCCUGAGACUCAGGAAUCUCGACUCUGCAGGCAGCUGGACCAGCAGACACAUACAAUGGUUCCAUUCCCGGAAUUUUUACUAACUGAAGGAUUUUGGGCAACACCACAACCUCUCCGACCUCAUUUUGUCAUGUGCAGAAAUACAGCCAAUGCUGCCUGAGAAGCUGGAGAGGGUAGCAGUGACGCUGUCAGGGAAGGGGAUGAGUAAUCCAAAGUCUCUACUUUCUGAUUUUGAUGCUAUCCACACCACUGUGGUUUUGGAAACUCAGAACUCCAUGAACAGUGCAAAGUGUGAAUUUUACUGUGUGUAAUUACAUCUUAAUAAAACUGCCCCCUCCAAAAAAAAGAGAGACUUGUAUUCAC